UAUUUAGUAUAUCCGUUAAAUUGAUAUAAACAACAAAAUGAUGAUUUGACAAUUUUUCUCACAUUUAUAACUUUUGCAUCGACUGGAUCAAGAAUUUAAUUCAUAUAUUGAUCCAGAUUGAUGCAUUGUUACUAUUUAAUUCCCCUUUUGACAGCAGACGUGGUACAUUUGUUGUGUGUGUGAGAGAAACAGUUUAAUGUGUGUAUGAGUGUGCGCCUCUCAUACACACACACACACACACACACACACAUCGUGUUGGAGAUAACGGCCAAACUGACCAUAAAUCCUCUGUGUUUUUAAGAGGCCAGACUCAUAAAGCGAAGACGUGACAGAGCGGCGCUGAUGGGUCAAUAUGGCCGAUCCUCACACCCCCCCCCAUGGAUGCUCAAUCACAUUCAUGUAUGCGUGUUGGAUGCAUAUCGCCGCCCACUGAAGCGCAUGAUGUACAAUUAAUGGAACAAAGAGGAGGAGCGAGUGUGUCUGUCUUUCUCAGGCCACCGUACGAAUCCAUACGUCUCCACGAUGUGUUCCGUAGACGUACGGAAUCCCACCCGUCUGCCCAAAAUCUGAGCUUUUGAUUCGUUCAUUAAUCGGCUCCUGAGGUUCUUCCUUCCUCUACCAGAAGUGGCCUCCCCAUCGCCCGUCUUCCCACUAAAGUGCAAGUGUCAUUCCUUCCUGCAGAGAAUAUCCUGCACCUCGUUCCAACACGUUUCCACCGACAUGCCGCUGUCUGCUGCUUCGCUCUUUCCAAGGAGCGCAUCGAUUUCUCUCUUCUAUUAAAUGAGUUGUUUCAACACAGCGGGGGUGAUCGGGACGGGACGUAUGAGUACAUUUCAGAGCGUGGAGAGAUGGUUGGGGGCAGAUACGUUCACAAAUGAAUAGUGGGCUUGUUUAUGCUCUCAGACGGAGAGAAUGGGGGGGGGGGGGGGGGUCACCAUAUACGUCCUUUGGUUUGGAAUCUACAACUUUAAAUUUAUAUUUUCAACAUGACGAAUCCAUUAUUAAUUUCUUCUUCUUCUUCCCCACAUGAAACCCUCUGGAGGUUUGGAUACGAGUGAAGUGUGAGUGACAUUUUCGCCUGCAAAUGAGUGGUGAAUAUUCAUUUGCACUUAGAGUGAAAAGGAAAAUACCUUUUAUUUAAAUGUGCAAAAUGUGUAAUGACUGUACAAUAGAUCUAUACAGGUCAGCCAUUUUAUUCAUAUUUAUUUUUGUGCACAAAAAUGGUCCGGAAACGUUUUUUGUUACCCUACGAUUUCUAAUAACAAAAUACGGCAUCAAAAU
ensembl:lncRNA